rnacentral:rRNA from 1 species
CCAAUAGCGUAUAUUAAAGUUGUUGCAGUUAAAAAGCUCGUAGUUGAAUUUCGGGAUCAAGGGAUCGGUCAUGCCUUGGUAUGUACUGGUUUCAUUGGUUCUCACCUUCUAAAGAACCAUGAUGUCAUUCAUUUGAUGUUAUGGGGAAUUAGGACUGUUACCUUGAAAAAAUUAGAGUGUUUAAAGCAAGCUUACGCUUGAAUACAUUAGCAUGGAAUAAUGAAAUAGGACAUCAGAUUCUAUUUUGUUGGUUUCUAGGAUCGAUGUAAUGAUUAAUAGGGAUAGUUGGGGGCAUUAGUAUUCAAUUGUCAGAGGUGAAAUUCUUGGAUUUAUUGAAGACUGACUACUGCGAAAGCAUUUGCCAAGGAUGUUUUCAUUAAUCAAGAACGAAAGUUAGGGGAUCGAAGACGAUCAGAUACCGUCGUAGUCUUAACCAUAAACUAUGCCGACUAGGGAUCGGAUGAUGUUAAUUUUAUAAUGACUCAUUCGGCACCUUACG